GACGAACGCUGGCGGCGUGCUUAACACAUGCCAGUCGAACGGAAAGGCCCUGCUUUUGUGGGGUGCUCGAGUGGCGAACGGGUGAGUAACACGUGAGUAACCUGCCCUUGACUUUGGGAUAACUUCAGGAAACUGGGGCUAAUACCGGAUAGGAGCUCCUGCUGCAUGGUGGGGGUUGGAAAGUUUCGGCGGUUGGGGAUGGACUCGCGGCUUACGAGCUUGUUGGUGGGGUAGGUGCUUACCAAGGCUUUGACGGGUAGCCGGCCUGGGAGGGUGACCGGCCACAUUGGGACUGAGAUAGGGCCCAGACUCCUACGGGAGGCAGCAGUGGGGAAUAUUGCACAAUGGGCGGAAGCCUGAUGCAGCAACGCCGCGUGCGGGAUGACGGCCUUCGGGUUGUGAACCGCUUUCGCCUGUGACGAAGCGUGAGUGACGGUAAUGGGUAAAGAAGCACCGGCUAACUACGUG
rnacentral:rRNA from 1 species